rnacentral:lncRNA from 1 species
UGAUAGUAAGGUGGUGAGUGAAGUAGUAUUAGUGAGUAGUGAUUAUAAGGAUAUGAUAGUAAGGUGGUGAGUGAAGUAGUAUUAGUGAGUAGUGAUUAUAAGGAUAUGAUAGUAAGGUGGUGAGUGAAGUAGUAUUAGUGAGUAGUGAUUAUAAGGAUAUGAUAGUAAGGUGGUGAGUGAAGUAGUAUUAGUGAGUAGUGAUUAUAAGGAUAUGAUAGUAAGGUGGUGAGAGUCGUGCGGGAGGUAUUAUUACAAGUGAUGCGUGAGAUUCCGCAAGUAGUCGUUGUAGUGUUAGUGUUCCGUGAAUAUUCAAAGGACUGGUGGAGUGUUUUGGGCUCGGUUGUAAAUCAAUAAAAAUAAUACAAGAGCUGCCAGACAUAAUUUUUAUAUAAUUAAAAGUACUUUUUUUACAUUUUUGCACCAAAAUAGUAGGUAUCUAGACAUGAUUUUUGAAAUCAUAACAAACGUAACUGUUUUAAUUUUAAUCAACACUUAGUUAAUAAAUAGAAACAAAAAUGCCCGCCUUUGGCAAAAGUAAUAUCACUAUUAUUUUA